UCCUUUGACCAAUACUCCCUAUUUUUGGGUGAUAUACACCCAUCACUUCAAUGGAUAAAUUUGUUUUACCUGUUGUACGAUUUGAUAAGUAAUACAAUCUCAUCUAUUAGAUGGAUGGGAUGUAUAAUGUACAUUCUUUUUGGAACGUAUGAGUAGCAUUGCUCGCUAUGAUAGCAGGAUUAAUUACACCAUUGGUCCCCCAAUAUUUUUCGACAAUAUUUUCUCGGGAUUGUAACUUUCUAACCAACGAUCAGAUUUUAUCAUAUUAUAUGCCGUUGUGUGUAUUUUUCGAAAAAGAAUGCGACAACUAUUUUCAAGCUCUGUUUGGACUCUGAACGGUGAAGAUAUGGUUAAAAUACGAGGGCUCGACUUCUCAAGGUCAUAACUUUUUGCCGGGUUAGCCUUUUUUCGCAUUUAAUAACCCCAUUUGUAGAUAUUCAAAAAUUUCCUUAAAUAUGUAGCGCCGCAACAUGCCGCCUUCCCGUUCCUUACAAAAUCACGAUAAAACCAUCCUAAGCCCUCCGAAUUCGACCCAAAAGUUUCGACGGAUUCGAUAGAUGCUAGAUUCUGCACUUGUAUCUCGUCGAUCCGGAGGUCGAUUCCAGUGUGCGGUGCCUUAUUUCAAAGACAACUCGCAGCCGGCCGCAGCCAUAUGCUUUGUAAGCCGAUCUGAUACCGGAUGAGAGAGAUGAAAUUCGCAGAAUGCCGCACUUCUUGUAUGCUCUUUAUUAUUAUAUAUCAAAUUUUAUAAUGUACAAUAUUUUACUUAUUUCAAUUUCAGAAUAUUUUAGAUUUGUCAAGAACAACAACAAAUUAUGGAAAUAACGCUGCGGACGGAAUUGGAGAUUCUUACGAACACAUGCGUAGGAUUUUUCCUGCACGCAUGUUGCUCAUCUACGACAACACACAUCCUGGUGAUCAAAUGUUGAUGGCUAAGAUGCAUUCUGCUGCAACUGAACAGCAAAAUGGUUACGAGUACAAAAUUUUUUUUUGCAUGUGACUAAUAUAUUAUGUGCCCCUUUUUGGAUACCCAAAGCACUUACCAGCAUAAAAGAAAGGAAACUGGGAGAAACGAUCCUUCAAUAACAGGAAUGCAACGACUAUUUUCCAGCUUCGUUUGGACUCUGAACGGUGAAGAUAUGGUUAAAAUACAAGGGCACGACUUCUGAAGGCCAUAACUUUUUGCCGAGCCUUCGGCACCGGCGGAGGCACGGGAUCGCGGCAAGGG